UACGUAGGGUGCGAGCGUUGUCCGGAAUUAUUGGGCGUAAAGAGCUUGUAGGCGGUUUGUCGCGUCUGCUGUGAAAAUCCGGGGCUCAACCCCGGACUUGCAGUGGGUACGGGCAGACUAGAGUGUGGUAGGGGAGACUGGAAUUCCUGGUGUAGCGGUGAAAUGCGCAGAUAUCAGGAGGAACACCGGUGGCGAAGGCGGGACUCUGGGCCGAUACUGACGCUGAGGAGCGAAAGCGUGGGGAGCGAACAGGA
rnacentral:rRNA from 1 species